AUUGAACGCUGGCGGCAUGCCUUACACAUGCAAGUCGAACGGCAGCAUAGGAGCUUGCUCCUGAUGGCGAGUGGCGAACGGGUGAGUAAUAUAUCGGAACGUGCCCUAGAGUGGGGGAUAACUAGUCGAAAGACUAGCUAGUACCGCAUACGAUCUACGGACGAAAGUGGGGGAUCGCAAGACCUCAUGCUACUGGAUCGGCCGAUAUCUGAUUAGCUAGUUGGUGGGGUAAAAGCCUACCAAGGCGACGAUCAGUAGCUGGUCUGAGAGGACGACCAGCCACACUGGGACUGAGACACGGCCCAGACUCCUACGGGAGGCAGCAGUGGGGAAUUUUGGACAAUGGGGGCAACCCUGAUCCGGCAAUGCCGCGUAAGUGAAGAAGGCCUUCGGGUUGUAAAGCUCUUUUGUCAGGGAAGAAACGGUAGUAGCUAAUAUCUAUUACUAAUGACGGUACCUGAAGAAUAAGCACCGGCUAACUACGUGCCAGCCGCCGCUGUAACAC
rnacentral:rRNA from 1 species